CGAUGUGUGCCAAUGGCAGCGGGAAAGGCAUUAAUUGCAUAAACGAGAAGGGAGGUCCGCUGGUCGUUGAAGAUGCGGAAGACACCGAAUGCCGUUUGAAGCUGGUCGGUAUCGUCAGCUUCGGAAACAGAUGCAUCGAGGAAGCUCGCAGCCCAACCGUUUAUACGAAAGUGGCCUCGUUCCUGCCUUGGAUAGCUGAACAAACUGUUCCUAUUUGAAGGUGACUUACACGCACGAUUCACGCAACCCCGGCUGGCCCUAUUACUGUACUGGAACAAUGGACGCAGUUCGGCUGAGGUUGGGAAUUCCAUUGAGACUUUGAUGCAAAUCGACAACUGCAGUUGAAUUGGUGGAGCAGCUAUAUUUUAUGACUUUCUCAAAAAUUAAAUGUAUUUAAUUCCAAGUUAUUGGUUUCGUUUUCGACUCUUAUUCAAAUACAAUUAAACCUUUCAGCAGCAUUAAAAA